rnacentral:rRNA from 1 species
CGGACGGGUGAGUAAUGUCUGGGAAACUGCCUGAUGGAGGGGGAUAACUACUGGAAACGGUAGCUAAUACCGCAUAACGUCGCAAGACCAAAGAGGGGGACCUUCGGGCCUCUUGCCAUCGGAUGUGCCCAGAUGGGAUUAGCUAGUAGGUGGGGUAACGGCUCACCUAGGCGACGAUCCCUAGCUGGUCUGAGAGGAUGACCAGCCACACUGGAAUUGAGACACGGUCCAG